rnacentral:rRNA from 1 species
CCUACGGGUGGCAGCAGUGGGGAAUAUUGCACAAUGGGGGAAACCCUGAUGCAGCGACGCCGCGUGAAGGAAGAAGGAUUUCGGUAUGUAAACUUCUAUUAGUAGGGAAGAAAAUGACGGUACCUGACUAAGAAGCCCCGGCUAACUACGUGCCAGCAGCCGCGGUAAUACGGAGGGGGCAAGCGUUAUCCGGAGUUACUGGGUGUAAAGGGGGCGUAGGCGGUUUAGCAAGUCAGAAGUGAAAGCCCGGGGCUCAACCCCAGGACUGCUUUUGAAACUGUUAAACUAGAUUACAGGAGAGGUAGGUGGAAUUCCUGGUGUAGCGGUGAAAUGCGUAGAUAUUAAGAGGAACACCAAUGGCGAAGGCGGCUUACUAGACUGUAAAUGACGCUGAGGCUCGAAAGCGUGGGGAGCAAACAGGAUUAGAUACCCUUGUAGUC